ensembl:lncRNA PURPL p53 upregulated regulator of p53 levels
GCCCUCUUGAGCUCUUGUGGUGACCUGGGAAUCAAUGUGUGAGGUGGUGCUAUGUAGCAGGAACCCCUCUUGCUUUGCAAAUAGUUUUUUGUUUGUUUUCCUUUUUGCCCAAUAGAGCCCUGCUCUACUGACCCUUCAAUGUGCCCGUGUGCCUAAAUAUUCCUGGUCGUGUGAAAAGAACCCAGGUAUUAGCUGAACUAAGGAGCACAAUUCUGCAACAUUUUGGCACCCAAACACGGGGCUUGAGAAAUGAAUGCAAUUGGAGAAACUGGUUGUUUUACCAGGCGUUGAUUGGAAAUGUGUGCUUCCCUUUAAGCAGUCAAGCUCAACUUGCAGAACUGAUGGGAACCCCUUGGGAAAACUGGCCUCAAAUGUUUGUCUACACAGUCCACAUACAGGGUUCUUAACCUGCGGAGCUGUCAUUUAAAUGUGCUUGCCAACUAGCUUGUUUAUCAAAACAUUCCAGACCCUUUCAAAUUCUCAUUUACAUUGUUUCUUGUUUACCACACCCAUAAAUUUGUAUUACCAGCAUAUUUAACUAUCCGGCUAUUUUGGAGAUUGAAAAAAGAAGACCUGAUUUAUCAUGUGCAAUAUCUCACACAUCUGUCAUUUCUAUUCUACCGCAAUUCGAUGGAGUCUUGUUCUGUGGUCCAGGCUAGAGGGCAGUGGCAUGAUCUCGGCUCACUACAAGCUCUGCCUCCCGGGUUCACGCCAUUCUCCUGCCUCAGCCUCCUGAGUAGCUGGGACUACAGGCGCCCGCCACCACGCCUGGCUAAUUUUUUGUAUAUUUACUAGAGAUGGCUAGUGUUAGCCAAGAUGGUCUCGAUCUCCUGACCUCGUGAUCUGCCCACCUCAGCCUGCCAAAGUGCUGGGAUUACUGGCGUGAGCCACCGUGCCUGGCCAGCAUCCUCUAAUUAUUAUUCAUAGUUUGUGAAUUUAGGCCUACGUGAAUAAUAAUAUAAUAUUUACUAUGAUGUUACUAUCUACCAACCUUAUUUUUCUUUUCUAUAAAAUAGGAGCCAAAAUAAUAUUUAUGUCAUACCUUAUGAAGUUAAAAUAAAAUAUAACGAAUGAGGGGCUUAACAA